rnacentral:rRNA from 1 species
GACGUAGGAUGCAAGCGUUGUCCGGAAUUAUUGGGCGUAAAGAGUUCGUAGGCGGUUAUUUAAGUCUGGUGUUAAAGACGGGAGCUUAACUCCCGCAUGGCACUGGAAACUGGAUGGCUAGAGUGUGGUAGAGGUCUCGGGAAUUCCAGGUGUAGCGGUGAAAUGCGUAGAUAUCUGGAGGAACACCGGUGGCGAAAGCGCGAGACUGGGCCAUAACUGACGCUGAGCCGCGAAAGCCAGGGGAGCGAACGGG